rnacentral:lncRNA from 1 species
GGAGAGUGCAUACUCAGAAUCAGAACUAGCGUUGGUGUUACCAGAUGCUAUUUCCUGUAUAUUUCUUCUAAUUUCACACUUGGGAGGAUACAAUGAGUAGCCAGCUACAUCUCAAGCCUCCAGAAUCUUUGUGUCUGGCCUGUGGAAAGCACGAACAUGGAGGCCUCCAUCAAUAUGAAGGUUGAUCAUUGUCCUGUAAUUCACAGCUUUCUUAUUGUCGCUCAGCUUAAAAACAAAACAACCGGACAGAAUGGCUGAAAAGAUCUUCAUCUGCCUAUAAGCAAACUCCUUUCCCAAACAAAUUCUCGGGCCUGCCUGUUAACCAAAAGAAACUGAUUUUAGCUUUCUUCAUGAGCAUGAACUUAGUAUUAUUUCUCAUAUCCCUUUUUGGACAUGGAUAGGAGUUGCUAAACUUGAAAAAGGUCUUUUCCUUGAUACAUUUUCCAUGGAGAAGUGUUGAACAGAAGAGUAAACUUAUAUGGGGUGAAGGUGAGUUUGAAGCAUGAAAUAAUGGAAUGUAAAAUCUAACCUGAAAUGCAGUGAAUUUGAAAGGGCUUUCUGGGCAAAAAAGGCCCUUCUCAUUAAGCCAUCUCUCUGGUCGGAAUUCCUCUGCAUCAUCGCCCCAUACGAAUCUCAUCCUGCCCAUUGCAUAUGGUUGGUAAGACACUAUAUCUCCUUUCCUCACACUGAACCCAUCUGGCAGCGUGUCAUCUGAAAAGCAAAUCUUUGCAUCCUGCAAACCCAGAGUCAGAAAAUUUGAGAUUUCAGAACUGUUUGGCACAAAAUAUAAUGCAGAAGAUGAAAAUUUGCUAGGAAGAUGUCAAAAAAGGAGAAGAGCAACAUAUCAAUGCUUUAAAAUCAUUUCCCAGAUAUAUAUCAAAUAGUUUGAUAUAGUUGUCCUAUGCCUUUCUUGAUGAAAAACCAGUUAUUGUUGGGAGUUAAUUCAAAACCAGGAAAGCUUCAAAUCUAUGCAUAUGUAUGUGCGAAUGACUACAAAAUCACAAUGCUCAUUACCACAGGAACUGCAGGAUAGAGUCGUAGAGUCUCAGUUAUAGCAGCAUGGAGAUGCUGCAUGUUCUCCAGAGCUUCUUCAGUAACACUGGCUGCAAACUCGGCAUAGUUUGUGGCCUCUUUCAGGUUGAUCGCUUCCCUCACUUCUUGUGCCACCUUUUCCUGAAUGGUGGGAUGCUUGCAAAGCAUGUAAAUGAACCAGGAAAGAGCAGUUGCUGUCGUGUCUUUUCCAGCAAUUAUAAAAUUGAGGAUUAUAUCCCGUAAGUAUUUUGGAUCAAUCUCUAUGUCCUUCAACUGCAGAAACCUUGAUAAAAUAUCGUCUUUCUUCAUCUGCCAUAACACAUAAUGAAAAAGUGAGAUUAAUUAUGCUCCAUAUUUUGAUGAAAAAUACAAUUACUAGGUGAUUCACUCACUGAAGAAUCAUUUUGUGAAUUCUUCAUUAGUUCAGUCUUGCUGUGGAUUAGCUUGUACACGAAGUCAUCAACCACUUUGAUACUCCUCUUUAACGUGGCCUCUGAACCGAUAUUCAGACUUUUCUUGAUUGUCCAGAAGAUAUCAACAUACCGAUAAAGGGUCAUGGCACUUGCAUCAUCAAAUGCGCUGCCAAACUUGGUGCCUUCUUCAUUUGAUCCACACAUGCUGUCUAGUUCUACCCCAAAUGCAACUUUGAAUAUGGAAUCUAAGGUUGCUUUCAUAAAAAGAUCCUGCAUAGAAACUUUGUAUUAAUCAAGAGACAAGAGGAUUGUUCUGUAUGUGAAUUCGGCAUCAUGUAAAUAACCUUACUUGAAUAUCCAUUGUCUGGUUGGAGCUUGCAGCUUCAGACACUACUAUAGCAAGUUUUGCCCCAUUUUUUCGGAAAACUACACUGCUGAAGUCCCUCAAUACCUUUGUAGAGAAUUCAUAGCUCGAUACCUUUCUCUGUUGCCGCCAUUUCUCAUCGUCAACUGUGAAAAUUCCAUCACCAAGUAGAUCCCUCAGAAUGUUAUAGUUAUAGGAACCCUGCACAAAGUUUUCAAAGAACCAAAAUUUUGAGCUCCAACCUCAGGUUUUGAACUCCAUUCCCGAUUCAAAAAUAAUUAAAUUAACAAACAAAACCUCCAAAUUUGGGGUUCAAAGGAUAAACCCUGAAAUUAAUCAUAGUGGAAGAUCCCCAAUGGCUGGAAAAUAAUAGGCACUUUCACAACAAUUCCAUUUUUUCCCAAGGCAAAUCAAGAUGAGAUAGAAAAAUCCAAAAAUUAGUUGACACUUGAUGUAAGAAUUGAGCUUUGGCAUGAAUUGAUUAUUGUUUCCCCGGUUUUAUCCUAUGCUGGAUGGGUGGAAGAUAACUUGAAAUUCCCUCCUUCUUUUCCUUUUCCCGAUAAUUUCCAAAGCUUGAUCAAAAUCACUUUCCAUAUUUGUUUCCCCUGUCUAUCUAUAAAUAGGCAUACACACAAAAAAUAAAAAAUAAAAACCAAAGAAAGACCCCUCUUGACAAUCAACUUAGUUCUUGAUUUCUUAUUUCUUCAGUCCAUUAAAACCCAAACAGCCAAAACCCUGAUAUUCCUGCAAAUUUCUUCAAGAAACAAGUAAUAAUAAGAAUUGGGUUUUGAUUGAGAGCCUUUACCUUGCCAUAAUUCUCGAAGUUUGUCUUGAGUAUAUACUCGACAUUAGCUGGGUCAGCAGUGUAAAUCUCAUUCCUAAAGGGGCUGAGCAGCCUGUAAGUCCUGUGCUUCCCAGCAAGAUCAGUCAUGUAGUGGUGCAACCUGUUGAAGUUGAAGAGCUGGUUGAAGACUGUACCGCCAAUAGGGUGAUACCUCCUCUUCUUUUCUGUUGAUUUUCCCACUAAGAUUUUCAUGAGAAAAACAAGGGUUAGAGCAGAAAUUGCGAAAACCAGGGACAUGGGGUUGCAGAAAAAGCCCAUGGACACCAUCUUGGACGUUGAUGAAAGAAGGAGCUGCAAGAUAUACAUGGGUAAAAAAAUGGAUUGCUUUUGGAUCUUGGAAGAGUGGCCGUGCGUUACUUGAACUUCUUUUUGCUCUUAUAUUAUUAUAUCCAUGAGACUGAAUCCAUAAUCAGGCAAUUCAUUGAUUUGAAUGAAGUUUUUCUUUUCCAAUUUACCUUCUACUCCUCAAAAAGAAUAAAAAAAGCUAGAGAUAUAAAUUAUUUUCUAAGCAUUCAAACUAUAUAUGUUUUUUUUUAUAAAAAAUAUUAUACUAUAUCAAAAGGUAUCUUAUCAAAGUUUGACAUUGUGGGGAUUCUCAUAUUCAAUUUUUAUCUUAUCAAAUUAUUUAAUAAUUUCUUUUUAUAUGUCUAUAAACCCUAAAUACCAAAAUAUAUCCGUAAUUAGUUUCUGCGGAGCACGAUGUAAUAUAUGAGAGUAGGACGAACAUUGAAUGCAUGAGUACUGAGUCUUGUCAAGUAUCACAAGUCCCCAACUAAGUCUACGAGAGGGUUGGCUCACCUUUCUAGACAGCUAUAGAGUUCCUUGCCCCAUAAAGGCAGGUAGAAGCAUAGAGUUUUGGGUCAAAAUGACCCAUGUAUUAAUUAUAUCAAACCACUUUAUCAAACUAACGUUCAAAGUAACCUCCUUGGUAUCACAUAGGAGUAUGUCAUAAAAAUAUAUAUUUUUUCGAAAUUUCAAUGAAAGCCGGUAAUUGAGAUUUCAUUUUUGAAUUGAAAUUAUUAUUAUCAAGUGAGACUUUAAUUUUUGAACUAAAGUCGUAAUUAUCAAUUGAGACUUUAUUUUUUAACUGAAGUCUUAAUUGAUAAUUGAGGCUUUAGUUUUUCAACUGAGGCUUUAGUUAAUUUUUUUUUAAAUUUAAUUAAAAAUUAUUAAAUUAUAAUUUAUUAUUGAAAUUAAAAAUCUAUGCUUUAGUAAUAAAUUAUUCAUAUUUAAGCUUAAGAAUUUAAUAUUACUUCAACAAACAUAAAUUGAUAAAUAUAAGAUAUUAUAAAUGAAUAUUCUAUUUAUUAAUAAAUUAAUAAUGUUAAAAUAAUAAAUUUAUAUAACAUAUAAAUAAAAUAUACAAUUGUAUAAUUUAUUAAUUUAAGAUAUUUAAUUUGUUAUUUUUUAAGAUAUUAAUUUAUUUGUAUUAUGACAAAUUUAUCUUUAUCGAAAUAAUAGUAUACUCUUAAGCGGUAGUUGUCAACUGAGGCUUCAGUUAAUAUUUUUUUUUUUUUACUUUCAAAUUUAAUUAAAAACUAUUAAAUUACAACUUAUUAUUGAAAUUAAAAAUAUGUAUUUUAAUAAUAAAUUAUUUAUAUUUAAACUUAAAAAUCCAGUAUUACGUCAAUAAACAUAAAUUGAUAAAUAUAAUACAAUAAAUGAAUAUUUUAUUUAUCAAUAAAUUAGUAAUCUUAAAAUAAUAAAAUUAUAUGACAUACAAAUAAGAUAUAAAAUUUUAUAAUAUAUUAAUUUAAGAUAUUUAAUUUGUUGUUUUUAAGAUAUUAAUUUAUUUGUAUUAUGACAAAUUUAUCUUUAUUGAAAUAAUGGUACACUCUUAAGUUUCUAUAUAUUGAUUUUUUUGAAAAAAUUAGUUAAUGAAAUUAGUCAGAAAAAGUCUAAUGCAAAUAGAACCAAUGGCACCAAUCAUACGUAACACCAAUCCACACCACAAAUUUGAAUUAAUUUUUGCUACUGGGGCUGCCUCCACAUUUAAGCUUCUAGAUUAAAUUUUUCAACACCCAAUGGAUAACAGGUGUUAUGACUUAUCAGACAAAUUAUUAACAACUUGACCAAAGCUCCUGACAUCACUGGUUUCUCUCAACCCUUUUCAGAUGCCUCUUUCGUUAUGGACUGGAGCUAUGAGAAAAAGGGGGGAGAGUAAGAGCGAAAGAGACAUGUAAAAAAUGUCCAAGAAAAGCCUGGGUUGAUUUUCAGAUCAAUUUUGACUUAGGGAGUGAGUUAGUUCUAGGGUGGACACAAUGGAAAAAGGCCAUGAAAUCCUAGUGGGGAAGUGAGUUAGUUCUAGGCAGAUUUUUGCAGUAGUUUGGAAGGCUGGAAGGCUGUACCGCUAAUCGUCCUUGGAUUCACCCAAUUCUUAACCACUGCUCACUUCUAUGCUUUCCCCAUCUAAAUGAUGCCACUGAUAAAAGUGACCAAACGCACCAUCCCAAGUGAAAAAAAGAACCAAAGAUCCAGACAUUAUUUAAUACUCGCCCACUGGCAUCAUCCUAUGCAUUAUAUUGGUGUUGCUGAAACUUGAAAGCUACCCAGCGGCAGCGCUGGAACCUUAAUGCAGCUUUGCUGGACUAGUGUGCCAGUUAACUAAUCCUACUUUUGAAGAAUACAACAGUAAUUGCAGAAGUAAGUGCCCUUUCGGCCUUUCCCACCUAUUCAAUUUAACAUGAAUCAUAGCCAUAGGCCAGCAACCACACAGCUAAUAAAAGUAAAGGGCGGUAGUCCCCCCCAUACGUUUAAUAAAUUGGACACAUUUUGGUCCCGUGGGGCAGCAAUCUGGGACUUAUUCUCCCUUUCUUGUGUUGUUUGUUGGGUUAUCUCUAUCAAAGGCUAAGUACAAUUCAUCAAGCCUAAUCAGAACAAAUUUGGAAAACAAACAAAUCGAAAGCAAAUUUUGGUAACCCACUUCAUGUACUGAGUAGACAUGCCUAUCAUGAAAUAUCUAGCAGACUUUUGAGUUUUGGGUCAAAAUGCCCCUGUAUACACAAAUAUAUUAGAUGUAAAAGCUUUAUGAAACUUAUGUUCAAAUUGGCCUAUUUGGUGCUACGUAAAGCCAUAUCAUAGAAAUAUAUAUAUAUAUUUUUAAAUUUUAAUUUAAGCCUCAAUUGGCAACUGAUGCUUCAUUUUUGAAUUGAAGUUACAGUUGUCAACUAAGAUUUCAUUUUUUGAACUAAAGUUGUAAUUGUCAGUUAAGACUUCAUUUUUUAACUGAAUCCUCAUUUGGCAACUAAGACUUUAUUUUUUAACUAAAGCCUCAAUUGACAAUUGAGGCUUUAGUUAAUUUUUUUUUUAACUUUAAAAUUUAAUUUAAAACUAUUAAAUUGUCGUUUAUUAUUGAAAUAAAAAUAUAUAUUUUAAUAAUAAAUUAUUUAUAUUUAAACUUAAGAAUCUAAUAUUACUUCAACAAAUAUAAAUUGAUAAAUAGAAGAUAUUAUAAAUGAAUAUUUUAUUUAUUAAUAAAUUAAUAAUCUUAAAAUAAUUUAUAUGUAUUAUGUCAAAUUUAUCCAUAGGUUCUCUCAUUGUGGAGGCAUAUGAGAUUAUAUAUGUUUUUUUUUUCUAGCAUAUAAAUGUUUAGUGGGUAUUUUUUGUGAGUUUUAUAAAACUACUAAAAAUUAUAUUUUGUAGUAGACUUUUUCUAAGUAAUUUUGUCAAAAAAAUCUAUAUAUGGAAACUUAAGAGUACACUAUUAUUUCUAUAAAUAUUUAUUUGUCAUAAUGCAAAUGAAUUAAUAUAUUAAAAAACAACAAAUUAAAUAUCUUAAAUUAAUAUAUUAUAAAAUUUUAUAUCUUAUUUGUAUGUCAUAUAAUUUUAUUAUUUUAAGAUUAUUAAUUUAUUGAUAAAUAAAAUAUUCAUUUAUUGUAUUAUAUUUAUCAAUUUAUGUUUAUUAAAGUAAUACUAGAUUUUUAAGUUUAAAUAUAAAUAAUUUAUUAUUAAAGUAUGUAUUUUUAAUUUCAAUAAUAAGUUGUAAUUUAAUAUUUUUAAUUAAAUUUGAAAGUUAAAAAAAAAAAAAUUAACUAAAGCCUCAAUUGGCAACUACGUCUUAGGAGUAUACUAUUAUUUUGAUAAAGAUAAAAUUGUCAUAAUACAAAUAAAUUAAUAUAUUAAAAAAUAAAAAAAAUUAAAUAUCUUAAAUUAAUAAAUUAUAUAAUUUUAUAUCUUAUUUAUAUAUUAUAUAAAUUUAUUAUUUUAAUAUUAUUAAUUUAUUAAUAAAUAAAAUAUUCAUUUGUAAAUAAAAUACAAUUUUUGUUUUUAAUAAUUUUAAAAUAAGGAUAAUUUUUCUAACAUCUUAAUACUAUUAAUAUAAUCCAUUUUAAUAUUUUUCUCAUAUCUAUUUUUGUUAAUUUGAAAACAUUCAAGUAUAACAAAUUAUCAGGUAUUUGUCAUGAGUACUUUGAUUCAAGGUGAAAAUUGUUGAAUGGUGUCUCAAAUUCCUAAUUUAUUUAUUUUUUGUAAAAAGAAUAAUAUAUAAAAUAUUUCAUAAGUUUCUAUAUGGUUGUAAUUAGAUUCCUUAUUUAAAGAAGAAAAAAAAGCCUAAAAGAAUAUUUUUAUAAAUAUGUUAAGUCGCAAGAGAAAAAAGUUAUGUAAGAGAUAUGAACUUGUGAGAACUAUAUAUGUCGGAUAAAGUUGUGAAAAAUAUUAAGGUGGAAGUACAAAGAGUAAGGAAACAUUUGAGACCUACUAUUUAUAUUCAUUUUUAUCAUUUAUAAUAUUUUUUAUCAUUUAGUGGAAUCAUGUCUCAUCAGUAGUCAUAAUUGAUCAAACCAUAUUAAAACUUCAUGUGUCUUUGCGUGUAGAUGGUUUUAAUUAAUGUUAUCCCAUUACUUAAUAUGUUUAUGUAAGAAGUAAAAACUUCCACACAUAUAACAAAUGAUAUCAAAGCUUUUGUUGGGCUGACAUGUGUUGCUUCCUAUCACAAUAAAAUCAUCAAAAUACUCCAAUAAGUAUAUUAGAAUUCCUACAUGAGAGUAGAUAAACAAGGAGGUGUUACCAGAUACAAUGAGUAGCCAGCUACUCAUUGCAUGGGUAGAAAAAUGGAUUGCUUUUGGAUCUUGGAAGAGUGGCCGUGUGUUACUUGAACUUCUUUUUGUUCUUAUAUUAUUAUAUCCAUGAGACUGAAUCCAUAAUCAGUCAAUUCAUUGAUUCGAAUGAAGUUUUUCUUUUGCAAUUUACCUUCUACUCCUCAAAGAGAAUAAAAAAACCUAUAGAUAUAAAUUAUUUUCUAAGCAUUCAAACUAUAUAUGUUUUUUUUAUAAAAAAAAAAUAAUUAUACUAUAUCAAAAGGUAUCUUAUCAAAGUUUGACAAUGUGGUCAUUCUCAUAUUUCUAGACAUAUUAAUUUUUAUAUUCAAUUUUUUUCUAAGUAUAUUGUUAUUAUAUUUUUAAGCAUCUUUGAAGCCUACUCUUCCACAUCUUUAGGGUUAGAGAACUCUUAAUAUAUUAAAACUCACACCAAGUCAUGAAAAUAUACAUUUCCCUUUUCUUCUUUAUUUUUCGUCGAUAUUUUCAUAAUUCACCGAUAUUUCGAUGAUAUUGUUGAUAAAAAGCUUCCAUUCAUUUAAAACUUUGAAAUUGAUAUAAGAUCGAUUGCCAGUAUAAUUGUGUUGGUCUUAGUUUCAUAAGAUGUCUCAUAUAUAUUAGUUUAUAAAAUAAAAUAAGAUUUAUUAAUAUAUAUUAUAAAUUAAUUAAAAUAAAAUUAUUAUAAAUAAGUUAAAUUUAAUUAAAACAAUUAAAUACAAAAAAUAUAAAUUUAUAAAUAAAAUGAUUAACAUUUUUAAAUAAGAAAUACUUUUAUAUAUAUAAAGAUUUCUUUUAUAUUCUUUAAUAUAUAAAAAAUGUAUUAUAUCCUUCAAUAUAUAUCAAUUUUUAUUAAAAUAAUUACAAUAUAUAUAUUAUUUUUGAGUUUUUUCUAAUAUUUUUAUAAAAAAAUUUAUUUAAUAAUUUCUUUUUAUAUAUCUAUAAAACCUAAAUACCAAAAUAUAUAUCCGUAAUUAGUUUCUGUAGAGCACACGAUGUAAUAUAUGAGAGUAGGACCAACAUUGAAUGCAUGAGUGAGUCUUUUCAAGUAUCACAAGUCCCCAACUAAGUCUACGAGAGGGUUGGCUCACCUUUCUAAACAGCUAUAGAGUUCCUUGCCCCAUAAAGGAGGUAGAAGUGUAGAGUUUUGGGUCAAAAUGCCCAUGUAUUAAAAAAAUUAUUAUCUAACGUUCAAAGUAGUCUCCUUGGUAUCACAUAGGAGUAUGUCAUAUAAAUAUAUAUUUUUUCAAAAUUUCAAUGAAAGGAAUUGAGAUUUCAUUUUUGAAUUGAAAUUAUAGUUAUCAAGUGAUAUUUUAAUUUUUGAAUUAAAGUCGUAAUUGUCAAUUGAAACUUUAUUUUUUAAUUGAAGCCUCAAUUGAUAAUUGAGGUUUCAUUUUUUAACUAGAACCUUAAUAACCAACAGAGGUUUUAGUUAAUUUUUUUUUACUUUAAAAUUUAAUUAAAAACUAUUAAAUUAUAAUUUAUUAUUGAAAUUAAAAAUCCAUGCUUUAGUAAUAAAUUAUUCAUAUUUAAGCUUAAGAAUCUAGCAUUACUGCAAUAAACAUAAAUUGAUAAAUAGAAAAUAUUAUAAAUGAAUAUUCUAUUUAUUAAUAAAUUAAUAAUUUUAAAAUAAUAAAUUUAUAUAACUUAUAAAUAAGAUAUAAAAUUGUAUAAUUUAUUAAUUUAAGAUAUUUAAUUUGAUAUUUAUUAAGAUAUUAAUUUAUUUGUAUUAUGAUAAAUUUAUCUUUAUUGAAAUAAUAGUAUACGCCUAAGUCGUAGUUGCCAACUGAGGCUUCAGUUAAUAUUUUUUUUUACUUUCAAAUUUAAUUAAAAACUAUUAAAUUACAACUUAUUAUUGAAAUUAAAAAUAUAUAUUUUAAUAAUAAAUUAUUUAUAUUUAAACUUAAAAAUUUAGUAUUACUUCAAUAAACAUAAAUUGAUAAAUAUAAUACAAUAAAUGAAUAUUUUAUUUAUCAAUAAAUUAAUAAUCUUAAAAUAAUAAAAUUAUAUGACAUACAAAUAAGAUAUAAAAUUUUAUAAUAUGUUAAUUUAAGAUAUUUAAUUUGUUGUUUUUUAAUAUAUUAAUUUAUUUUUAUUAUGACAAAUUUAUCUUUAUUGAAAUAAUGGUAUACUCUUAAGUUUCUAUAUAUUGAUUUUUUUGACAAAAUUGGUUAAUGAAAUUAGUUAGAAAAAGUCUACUAUAAAAUAUAAUUUUUAAUAGUUUCAUCAAAGUCACAAAAAAUACACACUAAACAUUAUAUGUUGGAAAUAUAUAUAUAUAUAUAUAUAUAUAUAUAUAUGUAACCUCAUAUGCCUCCACAAAGAGAGAACUUAUGGAUAAAUUUAACAUAAUACAAAUCUUAAAAAAAACAAUAAAUUAAAUAUCUUAAAUUAAUAAAUUAUACAAUUUUUUAUCUUAUUUAUAUGUUAUAUAAAAUUAUUAUUUUAAUAUUAUUAAUAAAUAAAAUAUUAAUUUAUAAUAUCUUCUAUCUAUCAAUUUAUAUUUGUUAAAGUAAUACUAGAUUCUUAAGCUUAACUAUAAAUAAUUUAUUAUUAAAAUAUAUUUUUUAUUCAAUAAUAAACUAUAAUUUAAUAGUUUUUAAUUAAAUUUUAAAGUUAAAAAAAAAGUAAUUGAAGUCUCAAUUGACAAUUGAUGGUUUAGUUCAAAAAUUGAAGCCUCAGUUGGCAACUGUGGUUCCAGUUCAAAAAUGAAGGUUCAAUUGCCAAUUGAGGCUUCAACUAAAAUUUUGAAAAAAAAAAAAAUAUUUCUAUGACAUAACUCCUACGUGACUCCAAAGAGACUAGUUUGAACAUAAGUUUCAUAGAGUAGUUAAAUCUUUUUUUUUUUUUUUUUUUUGUAUAUACGGGCCAUUUUGACACAAAACUUCAUCAUUCAAAGGCUUUGUUACCACGUUAAAAUGCCAUGUUUUUAUCUUUUCUUUUUCUUUCGGCCUUAUUAUUUCUUCUAAUGUUUUUUCAAACUUACAUUUUUUUUUAUUGGCUUUCAAAAUCUUUUGAUUUGAUUUAAUGGUAAAAAAAUGUCAAAUGGCAUGUGGAGAGAAAAAAGUAAAGACUAUAAUCAUAUUCUUUUGAAUUCUAAGUUUAAAAGUAUAACGUACGUGAAGUAAACAUGCUCUUGGUUUAAAUUUAAAGAGGCGGAUCCAUCCAAGGGAGGGCAAAGAGUUGGGUGGGCCAAUUAUUGAAAUAAAAAAUAUAUAUUUUAAUAAUAAAUUAUUUAUAUUUAAAUUUAAGAAUCUAAUAUUACUUCAACAAAUAUAAAUUGAUAGAUAGAAGAUAUUAUAAAUGAAUAUUUUAUUUAUUAAUAAAUUAAUAAUCUUAAAAUAAUAAAUUUAUAUAAUAUAUAAAUAAGAUAUAAAAUUGUAUAAUUUAUUGAUUUAAGAUAUUUAAUUUAUUAUUUUUUUAAGAUAUUAAUUUUUUAUAUUAUAUCAAAUUUAUCCAUAGGUUCUCUCCUUGUGGAGGCAUAUGAGAUUAUAUAUGUGUUUUUUUUCCUAGUAUAUAAAUGUUUAGUGGGUAUUUUUUGUGAGUUUUAGAAAACUACUAAAAAUUAUAUUUUGUAGUAAACUUUUUCUAACUAAUUUUGUCAAAAAAAUCUAUAUAUGGAAACUUAAGAGUACACUAUUAUUUCGAUAAAUAUUUAUUUGUCAUAAUGCAAAUGAAUUAAUAUCUUAAAUUAAUAUAUUAUAAAAUUUUAUAUUUUAUUUGUAUGUCAUAUAAUUUUAUUAUUUUAAGAUUAUUAAUUUAUUGAUAAAUAAAAUAUUAAUUUAUUGUAUUAUAUUUAUCAAUUUAUGUUUAUUAAAGUAAUACUAGAUUUUUAAGUUUAAAUAUAAAUAAUUUAUUGUUAAAGUAUAUAUUUUUAAUUUCAAUAAUAAGUUGUAAUUUAAUAUUUUUAAUUAAAUUUGAAAGUUAAAAAAAUAUAUAUUAACUGAAGCCUCAGUUGGCAACUAUGGCUUGAGAGUAUUCUAUUAUUUUGAUAAAGAAAAAUUUGUCAUAAUACAAAUAAAUUAAUAUCUUAAAAAAUAAAAAAUUAAAUAUCUUAAAUUAAUAAAUUAUGCAAUUUUAUAUCUUAUUUAUGUGUUAUAUAAAUUUAUUAUUUUAAGAUUAUUAAUUUAUUAAUAAAUAAAUAUUCAUUUAUAAUAUCUUCUAUUUAUCAAUUUAUAUUUGUUGAAGUAAUACUAGAUUCUUAAGCUUAAAUAUAAAUAAUUUAUUAUUAAAAUAUAUAUAUUUAGUUUCAAUAAUAAAUUAUAAUUUAAUAGUUUUUAAUUAAAUUUUAAAGUAAAAAAAACAAAAUUAAAUGAAACCUCAAUUGAUAACUACAGUUUUAAUUCAAAAACUAAAGGCUUAGUUGGUAAUUGCAGCUUCGGUUCAAAAAUGAAGGCUCAGUUGCCAAUUGAAACUUUAACUAAAAUUUUGAAAAAAAAAAUUAUAUUUAUAUGACAUGGCUCCUACGUGGCACCAAAGAGAUUAACUUGAACAUAAGUUUCAUAAAAUUGUUAAAUCUAAAUUUUUUUUAUAUAUAUAAAUGGGUCAUUUUGACCCAAAACUCACAAGUGUAAGAUGUCUUGAAAGUGAUUAGGCACUCACCAUCCUCCUCUUUUCUUUUUCAAAACUUAGAUAUUUCUUUGGGAAAUCAUGCUUUAGGGAUAGUUAAAACUUAAAAGCAUAUAAUGGACACAAGAUGAUUAUGCUUUAACCACCAGAAACAUGAAAUAGAAAUUAGGAAAUGUGAAUACACGGUUUUGUUGGCGGCGGCGGCAUAUCAUCAUCAUCAUUUUUAUAUAUUUCAAUUUUACUAAAAUAUUUCUUUAGAAAUUGAAAUAAAAACAUAAAAUAUUUUGUUUUUAAUAAUUUUAAAAUAAGCAUAAUUUUUUUAACAUCUUAAUACUAUUAAUAUAAUCCAUUUUAAUAUUUUUCUCAUAUCUAUUUUUGUUAAUUUGAAAACAUUCAAGUAUAACAAAUUAUCAUGUAUUUGUCAUGAGUUAAUGUACUUUGAUUCAAGGUGAAAAUUGUUGAAUGGUGUCUCAAAUUCCUAAUUUUAUUUUUUAUUUUUUAUUUUUGUAAAAAGAAUAAUAUAUAAAAUAUUUCAUAAGUUUCUAUAUGAUUGUAAUUAGAUUCCUUAUUUAAAAAAGAAAAAAAAAACUAAAAGAAUAUUUCUAUAAAUAUGUUAAGUCAUAAAAGAAAAAAGUUAUGAGAGAGAUAUGAACUUGUGAGAACUAUAUGUGUCGGAUAGAGUUGUGAAGAAGAUUAAGAGACACCCGAUAAAACAUGAUUUAAGGUGGAUGUACAAAGAGAAAGAAAACAUUUGAGAUCUACUAUUUAUAUUUAUUUCUGUCAUUUAUAAUAUUUUUUAUCAUUUAGUGGAAUCAUGUCUUGUCAGUAGUCAUGAUUGAUCAAACUACAUUAAAACCUCAUGUGUCAUUGACUCUUUGUGUGUAGAUGGUUUUAUUUUAUGUUAUCCCAUUACUUAAUAUGUUUAUAUAAGAAGUAAGAACUUCCACACAUAUAACAAAUGAUAUCAAAGCUUUUGUUGGGCCGACAUGUGUUGCUUCCUAUCACAAUAAAAUCAUCAAAAUACUCCAAUAAGUAUAUUAGAAUUCCUACAUGAGAGUAGAUAAACAAGGAGGUGUUACCAGAUACAAUGAGUAGCCAGCUACAUCUCAAGCCUCCAGAAUCUUUGUGUCUGGCCUGUGGAAAGCACGAACAUGGAGGCCUCCAUCAAUAAGAAGGGUGAUCAUUGUCCUGUAAUUCACAGCUUUCUUAUCGUCGCUCAGCUUAAAAACAAAACAACCGGACAGAAUGGCUGAGAGGAUCUUCAUCUGCCUAUAAGCAAACUCCUUUCCCAAACAAAUUCUCGGGCCUGCCUGUUAACCAAC